rnacentral:rRNA from 1 species
GACGAACGCUGGCGGCGCGCCUAACACAUGCAAGUCGAACGAGAUCUUUUAGGAGCUUGCUCCUGGCUGAUCUAGUGGCGGACGGGUGAGUAACACGUGAGCAACCUGCCCUUCAGUGGGGAAUAACGUUGGGAAACUAACGCUAAUACCGCAUAACGUCACAAGAUGGCAUCAUCUUGUGACCAAAGGAUUUAUUCGCUGAAGGAUGGGCUCGCGCCCGAUUAGAUAGUUGGUGAGGUAAUGGCUCACCAAGUCAGUGAUCGGUAGCCGGACUGAGAGGUUGAACGGCCACAUUGGGACUGAGACACGGCCCAGACUCCUACGGGUGGCAG